GACGAACGCUGGCGGCGUGCUUAACACAUGCAAGUCGAACGGAAAGGCCCUGCUUUGGUGGGGUGCUCGAGUGGCGAACGGGUGAGUAACACGUGAGUAACCUGCCCUUGACUUUGGGAUAACUUCAGGAAACUGGGGCUAAUACCGGAUAGGAGCUCCUGCUGCAUGGUGGGGGUUGGAAAGUUUCGGCGGUUGGGGAUGGACUCGCGGCUUAUCAGCUUGUUGGUGGGGUAGUGGCUUACCAAGGCUUUGACGGGUAGCCGGCCUGAGAGGGUGACCGGCCACAUUGGGACUGAGAUACGGCCCAGACUCAUACGGGAGGCAGCAGUGGGGAAUUUUCCACACUGGGCGGCAGCCUGAAGCAGCAACUCCGCGUGCGGGAUGACGGCCUUCGGGUUGUAACCCGCUUUCGCCUGUGACGAAGCGUGAGUGACGGUAAUGGGUAAAGAAGCACCGGCUAACUACGUG
rnacentral:rRNA from 1 species